UACGUAGGGUGCGAGCGUUGUCCGGAAUUAUUGGGCGUAAAGAGCUUGUAGGCGGUCUGUCGCGUCUGCUGUGAAAAUCCGGGGCUCAACCCCGGACUUGCAGUGGGUACGGGCAGACUAGAGUGUGGUAGGGGAGACUGGAAUUCCUGGUGUAGCGGUGAAAUGCGCAGAUAUCAGGAGGAACACCGAUGGCGAAGGCAGGUCUCUGGGCCACUACUGACGCUGAGAAGCGAAAGCAUGGGGAGCGAAC
rnacentral:rRNA from 1 species